rnacentral:rRNA from 1 species
UACGUAGGAUGCAAGCGUUGUCCGGAAUUAUUGGGCGUAAAGAGCUCGUAGGCGGUUUGUCGCGUCGAAUGUGAAAACCCGGGGCUCAACCCCGGGCCUGCAUUCGAUACGGGCAGACUAGAGUUCGGUAGGGGAGUCUGGAAUUCCUGGUGUAGCGGUGAAAUGCGCAGAUAUCAGGAGGAACACCGAUGGCGAAGGCAGGUCUCUGGGCCACUACUGACGCUGAGAAGCGAAAGCAUGGGGAGCGAACAGG